AUACAGGAGAGAGUCGAGCAGAGAGAGCUGCUUUUUCAUGAAACGGGAGUAAAGUAGUAAACUUAGGAACAAAUACCACUACCAACGUUUGGAUCGAUAUCUGCAUCGAUCUGCACACCCUUGUCUCCUGGAUUGUAGCUCAGAUCAGCGUGAACCACGUGGGUCUCUGCUCUCUGAUCUGUUUCUUAAGACUUCCAGCUUCAUCACGGAGUUUCUCUCGGUUUGUGGGCUCAUCUAAAGGGCGUUUUGCCUGGUCCGUCUGUAACCUGAAAAUGUCCAGCAUAUCACGCAUAUUGAGGGACAUUGCCAGUGAGAUGGAGCGGAGGGCAGAGACUGUUUCGUCGACAGAAGAACUCUCAUCAUCAUCCGUGCCGUCAAGACACCCUGUUGACGGUCUGCUGUCAUUCAUUGUCAGGUUGUCUGUUAUGUUCACACCACGUCUCCAUGUUUCCACGCAUCCAUGCCAGGUUUUUAUGUUUAAGCUGAAGUGUGCAGAAUAUUUGCCUCAUAUGGUAACAGGGUCCCUGGCAACCCUUCCAUUGCUGCACGACGUCGAUCUACAUACACAAGAGCCUAUUUCUGUUUGUCCAAGAUUGAUCAGACUAUAGCACCGACUAGAGAAGAAAAAGAAUUUCUUAGUGCUGCUGGCCUAGGGGAGCAGAGAAUUACUUUUUUUGGUGAUGAAGGCAGUGCAGAGGAAUUUCGAAGUCACAUUCUGGUUGCCUACCCAAAACUAAAUGGCUGUGGAGGGUUUGAGCUUUUAAAAGUUUCUGGGUUAACAAGGAGCAAAAAGCUCUCUGUGAUACCUUGCCCAAGGACAGGGUAUACCAUAAAGUCUGUCAGGAUACAUAUCAAA
ensembl:lncRNA